CUCCACGUGGUCCUAAGACCACUGCCCUUUCCACCGCCAUUUACUUCUUUCUAUUUCCUCCUUUGUUCUGAUUUUGGGCUGGAAGAGUCGAGAGAAAACAGAGAAAACAGAGAGAGAGAAAGGGAUGAGUGGCGAGAGAGAGAGAGAGAGAGAGGCUGUGAGCUGGGGACAAAGCAAUGGAAAUCGGAAGAAGAUGGGGUACAACAGAGGAGUUGAGGACUCUGAAGGUUCAACCCAGUGAGCUAUCUUUCUAGGAGUUGUUGAUAAGCUUCUAGCUGCGCGGAAGAAACACUUUUUGAUAUCGGGGAUCAGCUCGGAGAACUAGGUAGGGACCUUAGUUAUUUGAUAGAUAUCCUUUUUGGUAUAGAAUGGAUUUGAAAAUGUUACGACCUGAAAUUUUGUUUAGUUGUAUUACUGAUAUGGGUGCGAAAAAGAAAAUUUCUCUCUUUUGAGAUGUAUAUACAUAUUGGAGCUUACCAAGUUGGUUUUAUAUUUUUGGGAAUUUUAUGGAAAGCCAGUUUUAGAUGAAUAGUUAUGUGGUAAUGGAUAUCAAGGAAAGAUAGGAAAAAUUCUGUCGAAAUUUCGGGUCGUGACAGCCUAUCACCUCCUUCAUCUGCUCACAUCCAUAAACACGGAGAGUCUGGAGGUUGAGGAGGAGCAUGAAUGAGUCAAGAGUCAAGAUUAAAGGAAGAGUGCAACUGCAAUUUCCGAUCACUGUCCAUCCACUUCCAUCACCAAUUGCAGCAGAGAGGCAGCCUUCGUCUAGCCUAUGUUCCUCGACUGUGAGUCCCGGUCCGACUGAUGAGUAGAUGUCCAAUCGAGACCUGCACUCUCUUGUGGGGGAGCCUGUCAGUGGCUGGACCGGCAAGCAUAGCCCCUCAUUACCAAGUCUGGCUCGGGAGCGAUGGUAGCAGCACCAGUGUUUAGCAUGGCCUAUGUUCAGCACCAGUGCUCAGCAAGGCUAGUUUUUCAUUACGGUCUUACAUUCUACUUUAUUUUUAUUAAAUUUCGGAUUUAUAGAAAAUAUAUAACUAUGAUAAAGCUUAAUUAAAAUCUUACUUUCUUGCUUAAUUAUGCUAAAUAAAUUCAAAUAUUACCACAUCAUUAAUUAAUAAUUAAUAAUAAUAAAAGGAUAUUAAAUAAGAAAAAAGACAGAUUAUUCUUCUGAAAAACACCGGUCGGCGUUUCUGCCUCACUCUGUGGUCUGUUUGUCGCCUCUCGAAAUCUCCUUCCGGCCAACCGCCGCUGACCCCGGCGACCACCAUCGACUCCCCCCCAGGCUUCCACCCUCUGUGCGUCAGUUGUCUUCCUCACUCUUAGGCGCUUCAACAUCAAAUUUCAAGCAAUGAUUGGUGAUCUCUGAUUCCUGGUGUGGAGAUUGGAUGUGAAUGAAAUGCUUCAGAGCUAGGCACCUGACAAUCCGCUUCUUCAGAGUGGCAGAGGAAUGGAGUUGCAGGGACUAGACAACAAGAAGAAGCAUUCCUUGAGAUCUAAACAGAAGGCGGACCUCGGCUCGGUCCUCAGGAAGUCGUGGUACCACCUUAGGCUGUCGGUGAGGCACCCCUCGAGGGUUCCCACCUGGGAUGCUAUCGUCCUCACAGCCGCCAGCCCUGAGCAAGCCCAGCUCUACAACGGGCAGCUCUCCCGAGCCAAGCGAUUGGGCCGCGUCUCACCCUCGACUGUCACCCUGGCCGUGCCCGAUCCUCAUGGCCAGCUUAUUGGUUCCGUUGCUGCCAGCGUCAAUGCCAUAUAUGCUCUCGCCCUUAUCCUUCUUUGCGCGCGCUCUCUCUCUAUUGAACGGACUCGAGGUCUACCCAAACCGCUCAGACAAAACAUGUGGGGUGCGGCUCAUUUGGCGCCCUCCCUCACUUGCCUCUGCUUAUUCUAUUGUCCAGGCAUGAUUGCACUGUCAUGGUUAUAUCAACAUUCUCUCCCCUCCUCACAGACAAAUGCAGCAUGUAAUUCGCAAGCUUUGCUCUUUUUGUCGUUAACUUCGAUUUAAUUCGUCACAA